GGGGCUGUAGUAUAGCCUGGUAGAAUUGGCCCUUGGGGUGGGUCCGGCCCCGGUUCAAAUUGUCGCAAGAGGGCAUCUUGUGCAUGCAACUCCGGGCAGCCCCA
rnacentral:tRNA from 1 species